UACAGAGGUCUCAAGCGUUGUUCGGAUUCAUUGGGCGUAAAGGGUGCGUAGGCGGCGCGGUAAGUCGGGUGUGAAAUCUUGGAGCUUAACUCCGAAACUGCAUUCGAUACUGCUGUGCUUGAGGACUGGAGAGGAGACUGGAAUUUACGGUGUAGCGGUGAAAUGCGUAGAUAUCGUAAGGAAGACCAGUGGCGAAGGCGGGUCUCUGGAUAGUUCCUGACGCUGAGGCACGAAGGCCAGGGGAGCAAACGGG
rnacentral:rRNA from 1 species